CUUCCUUAUAAAAAAAUAAGAAAAAUAAAUCGAAAAUAAACAUAUUAAAAAAAUGUAGCAAAAUAUAGUUUAUAAUCCAUAAUUUACAAGGGAAUAUAAAGUGCAUUGUUAAGAGUUUGAGAUGGGGUGUGGGGGUGAUUAAAUUCCUACCCUGACCAAAAGGUGGCGGUAGCCAACGCUGUAACAAUAAGCAGAAGAAGAAGAAAAAGAGGUAUAAGAAGAAGAUUUUGCCUCCCAUUAUUUCUACUCGGUCCGGCGUUAGGUGAUGAAUCACGAAGCCGAGGAGGUGAACUACAGAUUACCGUCCCAGUUCUCAGGUGAGUGGAGCGCACGCAGAUGCUGAUGUCAUGGAAACCUUGCAUCCCCUGAUAGACCCGGAGCAUGACUCAUUGGCUCCUGGGUUUGCAAAGAGAUGCUACAUUCACCUCCUUCUUACGCCUCCUUUCCCACCUCCCCCUCGGUGGUUAAGGAGGAUGAGUGGAGAACACUUCACCUCCUUACACAUACUGUACAUAUUAGAUUCACCUCCCCACAUACUGUAAAUGUCGGAUUCACCUCACAAAUACUGUUGACAAAAGAUGGUUGGUUGCAACGGGAAGUCAGCUAGACUGAAAAUGUAUCUAAUUUUGAUAAUUAAUAAUCAUCACAUCAAGUACAAAUACCAUACAUUGGUUGCUUUAUGCUAUAGGAAUAAACACCUGGGUCGUUUUUCAAUGGUUCAGAAGAGAUUAUGUCUAACUCUAUGCUGUUUCGUUUUUCUUGUAGGUAACCAUGGAGGUAUGGCUGCAUUACAAAACAGUUUAUUUAUUCUGUAAAGAGCUGAGAUGUUUUUGCAUAAUAUUUUUUAAUAUGUCUGAUACAAAUUGUACACCAACAUCCAGACUGGAUUCAUAGCAUGACAAGUGGCCCUAUUGACCGCAUUUGUAUUUCAAAUGAACUAGUGGCUGCAUUGCAGUUCUUUUUAAAUCUUAAUGUAUUGUCUCUAAAUUAUGCACUGUACUUACUUUUAAAUGUUAAUAAAAAAAAGUUUAAUAUA